GAGGCCUGAGCCCACACCUCCACACACACGUUGUUGAAUUCCUUCCUUUAUCGUCUGCCUCACUUCCUGUGUUUACCCACACCCGUUUUAUUCACCCUAUUUAAGCUCUGCGUUUUCCCUGCUUAGUUGCUGAGCAGUAUGUUGUUGUAUGCUUAUUGUUACGCUGUUGCAUUUGCACUGUGAGUAGUUUUUUGGUGAUGUUAAGCUCUGCUGCUGUCUGGUGCAACAUACUCUGGAUCAAACGCGUGAUGGAGCACCACCAGAACAGCAGGUUUUGUGGCUUUGGGGGAGAGAAAAAAAAACAUGCAAAUAUUAUUUUACACACACACACACACACACACACACACACACACACACACACACACAUUACAUACACUAAAAUGAAUUUAAACAGCAAAUAAUUUUGAAAAGAUGGUCGACUACCUGAAGUAUCACGAAGCUUUUUCACGGCUGCUUCAAUGUCAGUUCCAGCUUGUGAAACGACAGGGCAGAAAGCCAGAAUGAAGUCACACGCACUCACUGUCUCCACCUUCUCCAGCCAGUUUGCUUCAUUUUUGAGCUGAGUUACGAAGUGUUCAUCAGACUUCAAUGUCUUUCCAGUUAGAAGAAUGAAGUACUUCUUCCCUAACGAUACUGUUGUGGUCAUCUUUCCUUUGAAUAAAGACAAAUAAUCUCUUAGCAUUUCCACUUUAAAUAAUAAAGUGGGUUUUUAAAAGUAGGUUUUUUUAAAGAGAGUUUUUAAAAAUAGUUAAUUUAGCUCAAGAAGCAGGAUAAUUUCUCUAACCAUAAAGGAACAUUUAAUCCUUCAGUUUAUCGCAAACAUUCAAAUUCAAAAUCACCAAUCACACAUGGCUUCCCUGGAAAGGAAGCGUAUAAAAAUUGUAAUCUUAAAAGGAAAUAGUAACUACAUCUGUCAGACAAACGUAAUGGGGUUUUUAAAAAGUACAAUAUUUGCCCCUUUGACAGAGUGGAGCAGAAGUACAAAGCGGCAUAAAAUGUACUCAAGUAAAGUGCAAGCAGAUCCAGUCCUCCAGCAACAUCAGCCUCAGUUUAGUUGCAAGAAUUAACUCAAAAAUCUACAACAAAGCAAGUAAUGUCAUUUCUAUUUUUGUGAUGAAUUCUGACUUUCAGUCAGAGGAGAAUUUUCACUGGAGACAGGACUUAAGAAAAAAAUAUCCCUGAUAUCUGAGUUUAAACAAAUGGCAAACAAAUUUCUUUCAUUCCAUCAUCAUAUUCUUAUCAAAACCGAAAGUGAACGUAAGUGUCUUUGAUGGACAUUUCCCCAGAGGCUGUGCUGUCCACCGAAAACAGUUUGCUUUAAAAUUUAUGAACAGUGUUAUAUUGCACCGAGAUGAAUAUUUGAUAUUGUGAUUCAUUAAAAGUAUUGUAUUUCAGCUCUAUAAUAUAGACUAUAACUGUUUACAUGAGGAAACAUUUCAAUUACCACAUUUUAAUGAAAUUUUAGCAGAGGAUGAGCUUUCCAUGUAGUCUAAAAAUAUCACCUGUGGAUCCCUCAUGUGUGUGUGUUAGCGAUAAAACACCUUCCAAUAAAAUUACUAGUCUGACCACUUACCUGCAUUCAGAAGUGACUCCAUUUUAUUUUCAACUUCUUCCUUUUCAAAUGUUUCCAAUUGUGUAAUCUCUGUGUCAAGUUUUUCUGUUGGUAAAAAAGCAUGCACAUUCUGAAAACUUUUAAAUCCAGCUCAUGCACUGAGAUUGAAUGAAUCAGUUUUCAUGAAAUGCCUAAACUGUACAAUAUAGAAUGCAUCUUGUAAUGUAUAGAAUUUAGUGCUCUAUAAACAUGACUUCUAAGGCUGUAUUAUUCUGUCCAUGUUCAUUAAUGACCUUCUGCUCAUUUUAUAGUCCAUGCUUUUGCUCUCUGCAUUUGGUUGACAUCACUACAUUGAACCCCUUGUAUGUUUUUAAGUGAUUUGGUAUUUUGGACUGCUGGUGUUGAAAAUAAAAAUGCACCACUUGUAUUCA